rnacentral:rRNA from 1 species
UACAGAGGAGCCAAGCGUUGUCCGGAUUGACUGGGCGUAAAGCGCACGCAGGCGGAUGUGCGCGUGGGGUGUGAAAUCUGGCCGCUUAACGGCCAGGCGCCAUCCCAUACGGCACGUCUGGAGGGCUGCAGAGGUCGAUGGAAUUGCCGGUGCAGUGGUGAAAUGCGUAGAGAUGUGGAGGAACACCGAUGGCGAAGGCAGCCUCCUGGGCCAGCACUGACGCUCAUGCACGAAAGCGUGGGGAGCAAACAGG